rnacentral:rRNA from 1 species
UACGGGGGGGGCAAGCGUUGUUCGGAAUUACUGGGCGUAAAGGGCUCGUAGGCGGCCAACUAAGUCGGAUGUGAAAUCCCCAGGCUUAACCUGGGAACUGCAUCCGAUACUGGAUGGCUUGAAUCCGGGAGAGGGAUGCAGAAUUCCAGGUGUAGCGGUGAAAUGCGUAGAUAUCUGGAGGAAUACCGGUGGCGAAGGCGGCGACCUGGGUCGAGACUGACGCUGAGGCGCGAAAGCGUGGGGAGCAAGCAGG